GAUUUGCAGGGGUGCUCGCAUUCCUCCCACACAUAUUGAUUAUUAGCCAUAGACACCCCUGCACUUAACCGAGCAUCAAGUGGAAGCAAAGGGCAGAGACAUGAUCAUAAGUGCGUCAUCCUCAAGAUGUACUCAAGAGUUGAUUUAUCCCUGUUGCCGCUGAAGUUAAAUAGCUCCUCAUUAUUGUUACAGGCUUUUGGGAUCUAGUAUUACUAGGCUGUUGAAGCGGGCCUUCAGUUUGAGAAUACUUCGUAUGAAACAGAAGAUGACCGAAUCAGAACCUCGUGGGGGUAGAGAAACACUGUAAAAUGUAGUUAUUUUGGGCUGUUGAAGCAUCCGUGAUGUGAGAAUUUCUAAUAUGCCUUAAUAAUGCUAAAUUGAAAACAUUCAAUAAUAUUCUUCAUUUUGAUUGAUGCAUAUAAUUAUUACAAAAAAGGUUAUUUCAAGUGUUGUUAAUAAUUGUGUUAAAAUGGCAAGUGUGUCCAUUUGUCCUUCAGGUGUUGGAAACACAAAGUUGGUUAUCUUCAACAAAAUGAGAGUAGUAACUUGUAUCUGUAUUUUGCUUGCUUGUCUCUUUCUCCUAUAUCCAGUAUAAAUAAUAUGUACAACGAAGUCAUAUCUAUAACAUGAACCUUCUACUAAGAACUGGCAGAUACGACUUUUGUUUUGUGUUGAUGAUCUUCCAUGGGAAUCAUUUAUUUGCUAUACUCUCAGUAAAGAUCAGAAACUCAUAGACAAUAUAUGACACAUAUUUAUGAAACAUUCCUUUUAUGCGAGCUAAAGGAAUGAAGCCAUUAAAGUCGAGAACAAAAAAAAAAAAAGGCACAGUAACUUUUUUUUUUUCUGGUGAGUAGUACUAGUAGUCAUUUCAGUAGGAUAUACUUCCACUUUAUUUUGUUUUUUUGGUGCACAUCCACUUUAUUUCACAGAACUUGUCAUUUUUUCACGAAUUGGAAAUAAAUUGUAACUAUUAUCUCACAAGUAUAUUGAUAAAAUUGCAUAAACAAAUGAAAGUUGUGUUUAUUUAGGAUUUUUAUUCUAUUAUCCUCUAAUUGCUGAAUGAAUGAUUUCAGUAUCUGGUGUUCA